AUUGAACGCUGGCGGCAGGCCUAACACAUGCAAGUCGAACGAGUGGCGGACGGGUGAGUAAUGUCUGGGACACUGCCUGAUGGAGGGGGAUAACUACUGGAAACGGUAGCUAAUACCGCAUACCAUCAGAUGUGCCCAGGUGGGAUUAGCUUGUUUGGGGGGUAACGGCUCACCAAGGCGACGAUCCCUAGCUGGUCUGAUAGGAUGACCAGCCACACUGUAACCGAGACACGGUCCAGACUCCAACGGGAGGCAGCAGUGUGGAAUAUUGCACAAUGGUCGCAAGCUUGAUGCAGUCAUGCCGCGUGUAUGAAGAAGGCCUUCGGGUUGUAAAGUACUUUCAGCGGGGAGGCGUUACCCGCAGAAGAAGCACCGGCUAACUCCGUGCCAGCAGCCGCGGUAAUAC
rnacentral:rRNA from 1 species